UUAUAGUAUUUAUGUAUAAUAGGGUAAGAGAAAAUUCCAAUCAAAGUACGAUUUGGGAGUGGGUGCCAAAAGGGUUGCAUGUGGGGUGCAAAAGUUAGGUCCUUUUACAAUUUCUAUCCCACUUCAAGAUUCUAGUUAUGGACCACUACUAGAGUACAUAUUUCAUGAAGACUUGGAUGCAGAGUAUGUUUAAGUUAUAUUUAUUUUUAAUUUCUUGUAUGUUUUGUAAAUGGUAUUUUUGGAGGUUGUCAUUGAUGUAUAAUUUUGCAUGGUGGAACUUAUUUUUUAUUGACUUUAUGUUGACUCAGAUUUUGGUUUUAUAGUUAGCAUAUUGUUGACACCUACUUCCAUUAUCUUGACCGACAACUAUUUUCAACUUUGUCUCCUGCAGUUAUGCUAUCUGGCAAGGUGACUUUUGUAUAUUAAAUGAUGUGGGUGUUAAUAUUUAGAACGUUCACUAAUUUUUAAAUUAUUAUAAUUUGUAGGUUAUUAAUGUCGUUUGUGAUAUGCUAACACAGACUGAAAGAUUGGUAUCAAAAGGAGAGCGAAAGAUGUGGUAUUUAAACACAUGGAUGAGUGUGAGCUUUUAUUUUAUUUUUGUUUUGUAAUUAAAAAAAUCAAGCUUGUUAAUGAAGUUAAUAUUUUGAUGUAUUUUAUUUAUAGUCUUCCAUAACUGCUGAAAAAUUAUUUCCAAGUACUAUUAGAGGAAAUCAUGAUGGAGAAAAAGAGUCUACUAGACAAUUCUACAUUGGGGAUCUUCGUAAUUGUAAGAAGAUAUUUAUACCAAUUCACAAGGUAAGUAUUAUGCAUUUUCUCCUUUUUGUGGUAUGUGUGGAGAAAUGAGAGGUUGAAAUUUGGGAUUCUCUUCUUCAUAAGGGUCAAUCCAGUGGGGAGGACCUUGUAAAACCAAUGUUAGUGAAGUUGGACUCAUUAUUGGCAACUGACAUUGCAUGUUUGAAAUACUCGUGUGAAGAGAUUAUAAGAUGGAAGUGGGCUGAUUUUUCAUUUGCCAAAUUUCAUGUCGCGACAAUUACCAGCGCACCUCAACAAUCUAAUUCUUAUGACUGUGGAAUAUUUGUUAUUAACUGGUUGGAGGAGCGCCAGAGAUAGUAUUUUAAUGAUUCUGAGGUUUUUUUUUUAAU